CCCCUUUCAGGACUGGAGACAAAUGUUUAAAGGAUGAUCCUAGCUAACAAAGUAACAUCUGGCACUUAGUAUCUUGCUGUGACUGAUUGUCUGAUAUAUCACCCCAAAGUGAGGUGCAGUAGAGCCCUAGAAUGCAAAAUGCUUCCUAUAGCGUCAAUACUCCCAGUGAGAUGAGAAACAUUGAAUGAGGAGACUGUGUUGGGACAGAGAGGCCAAAGAAAAAACUGAUUUUCCUACCCUGGAUAUUCUGAAAUGCACCGCUUCUCCACGCCGCCUUUCCUCAUUGACUAUUAUUACCAUCACUCUUUUUGGGGGAUGUCAACUGCUAUGUCAUGAGGACACUCAAACAGCCCUGUAGAGGGGACCAUGUGGCAAGAGACUGGAGGCCUUUUGCUAACUGCCAGCAAGAAACUGAGGCCUCCUGCCAAUAGCCAUGUGAGUGAGCCAUCUUGGAAGCAGAUCCUCCAUCUCUAGUCAAUGCUUCAGAUGACUCCAGUCCCAUCCAACAGCUUGACUGCAACCUGAUGAGAGACUCUAAACUGCUCCUGGAUUCUUGAACCUCAGGAACUGUGAGAUAAUAAAUGUUUAUUGUCUUAAGCCACUAAAUUCUGAUGUAACUGGUUAUACCACAACAGAUAAUAGAUCAA
rnacentral:lncRNA from 10 species